CAUUAACUUUUGGCCUGGUUACGAACCAUUAACUUAAUGGACUCACUAAAGUUCAUACAUGUCUUUAGGCCAAAUUAGGUAAUUUGAGCCCAUUACGACGAGCAAUUAUGCACAGGACCAAAACCGAUCAAGCAAAGGUACGACAUACAGGGUAAAGUUGCACAUCCAACAUAUAUUACAGGAAAUUACAUCCACUAGGCAAUCAAAGAUUGAUGCCAGUGCAAAUAAAUGAACAGAACCUAACGAUCUACAACAUCAGAAUCUGCAACCUCAGCAUGGAUGACGCCCAUAAGCAUGUGGGCAAGUUCUUGCUGCUUUGCUACAUCGUCUCUGAAAACUUUGAUCAGUUAUUGUGUCACACGACUCUGCACCUCUGAUUCCUCCACCAUUUCCAUCAUUCCUUCAGCCAUUAAUUGGUUCACAAACAUACAUUUUUUCCGUUGCAUUCGAGACAAAGGAUACUGAACAGAUUCAUAUGGCGAUUUUGGCAGGCUUGUAUUAUUGAUAGUGGAGAGUGUCUCGACCACUGCAUGAUAACAUAAAUUAGGAGGGGAACCAAACAGAAUAAUCAUGAUUUAUUGCCAUAUUACCUGGCCUAGAUUUAUUGGAAAGAAACAAUGGGGUUGCCUUGCUGUUUUCAGAGUUUGUCUUCUUAUCUUCAGCAGCCUGCACCAAAUUAAGACACUAGCAUUGCUAUCAUUGGCCAAGUCAGAUAAUAGGAAUGCAACAUCUAUUAUAUAUAAAAAGUGCUUUACGGAUUUAUGGACUAGCCAGAUAAAAGAUAAAUAGGCUAGAAAUUAUCACAAAAAAUAGAAACAUCUGACCAUUCAAUCAAAUAGACAAUUUAUUUAAUAACUGUUAGAUUAGAUUUAACUUGAAAAUUUUACCCACCAUGGCCAUUACAAUGGAACAACACGUCGAUCCCAUGCCUCUUGCAUUUUUUUCCUUUAAAAAAGGUAAAAUAUCCUACCGUCAAAUCUGAUAAACCAUCCAUUACUUCCCACGAACUCUCCUGCCCCGUACUUACAACCACACCAUCACCAAAAAACCUAUCUAAACCCUAGAUUGGCCGCACCAUCAUCUUCCGCGUUGCCUCAAUAUUCCAGCCCUACGUCCUUACUCCUCUCUGGUAUGCAAAGAAAAGGAGGACAGACUGGCAGAUAUGGAUGGAAGACAUAGGCCGACCCCUCUGACUCCGAGGUGGCUCAGCAUCAGCACAACGGCCAAAGACAAUGGCAAGGUAGGUACUUGAUCGAUUCUACCAGACCAUCCAAGCCUAUCCCUGGUCAUUGCAUGCACAGCCUUUUGUUUUUGCUAUUCAACUCUUUUUUUGUUACCAUAAUUGUUCUAUUCAUCAAUUAACAACACACAUAGAAGUUGAUAUUUGAUGCCAAAAUAUACAUAAGCAUCAUCAAGUUGAUUCUUUUGUCACAUGCAACGUACAUGAAAGGAGAAUAACCAUCCGACAAUAAAAUAUUGGUUCCUGGCCAUUAGUGUCCAUGGACAUCUAUAAUUUUCCACCUAAGAUUUUGAUUACUGUGACUUUCUUAAUCAAACUUUGAAAUAGCUAUUUCCCGUCAACAUUCACAGUUGUCCCAUAAGCAUCUUCUAAUCCCUUUGCACCUCCACAAACAAAUCUUAGUGCUCAGAUCAGGUAAUUUUUAUUAUCUACAUAGGAAUAGUUAUUUAGAGGUACCUAAAAAAUAUCAAAAUUAUAAUUGACCUCUUUGGCUCAAGGUAUGCAUGACAGACAUGGAGAAAAAAAGCAAUGUUCGCUUGUGACACAAUAAGCACUGUUUUCUUGAUCUUAAACAUUGGUGGUUGUCACCUCCUUUUUAUUAGCUACGGCCUAAUCCUUACCUUUGAUUUCUUCCCAACUCUAUUCAUUUAGUAAAUGGCUAAUGCAUUUCAAGUAUCUUGAUUGUCUGCUUAUGAACUACAUAAUAUAAGAAGAUAAAUUUUUAUAUAAAAACUGCAUAAUUAAAAUGCAUCUCACUUCGUGGUUACACCAGAACUGCUAGGAACUAACAACAUUAAACCUUUUGGACUGUGGCUAAAGCAUUCUGCAUGCAAUUCUGCCGAUCUCACUGUCAAAGUUCACACCAUGCACAAAUACAAUUAAAGGGAAGAAUAAAUUAGGUCCUCCAACUGAUAAACCAUAAUCCACAGAACACCGUCAAGCAACCUUGGCUAAACUCUAAAACUCCUCUCCUACUAACGGCACCUCCUUGAAAGACUUGACGCAAGUCCUUUAGAGAAUUUCACUAUAACUGAAGUUUUCGACUAGGCCGGUUCUGAAAGUUUGAAGGAUCGAACCAUUACCCUCUGUUAUUCCAAGACCUGUGUCCACUCAGCCGACCACCAGCCCGGCUUAAUUGUCUUCACAAUGACAGCAAAUUUCAAAUAUAAGCGAGAUUUAUGUUCUUUUGCUAGAGUAAGUUAUUUAAAUUAUGUAAGCAAUUUUAAAGUUAUGUAUAUAACUCUUUACAUUACCUUUACAUGAUGAAAUUCUUUCAGUGGUGAGAAGAUAGGGACCACUCU
rnacentral:lncRNA from 1 species